rnacentral:rRNA from 1 species
CCUACGGGAGGCAGCAGUGAGGAAUAUUGGGCAAUGGGCGCGAGCCUGAACCAGCCAAGUAGCGUGAAGGAUGACUGCCCUACGGGUUGUAAACUUCUUUUAUAAAGGAAUAAAGUGAGGCACGUGUUCCGUUUUGAAUGUACGGUAUGAAUAAGGAUAGGCUAACUCCGUUCCAGCAGCCGCGGUAAUACGGAGGAUCCGAGCGUUAUGCGGAUUUAUUGGGUUUAAAGGGAGCGUAGAUGGGUUGUUAAGUCAGUUGUGAAAGUUCGAGGCUCAACGGUAAAAUUGCAAUUGAUACUGGCAGUCUUGAGUACAGUUGAGGAUGGCGGAAUUCGUGGUGUAGCGGUGAAAUGCUUAGAUAUCAGGAAGAACUUCGAUUGCGAAGGCAGCUUACUAAACUGCCACUGACAUUGAUGCUCGAAAGUGUGGGUAUCAAACAGGAUUAGAUACCCGGGUAGUC